rnacentral:rRNA from 1 species
CCUACGGGAGGCAGCAGUGAGGAAUAUUGGUCAAUGGACGCAAGUCUGAACCAGCCAUGCCGCGUGCAGGAAGACGGCUCUAUGUGUUGUAAACUGCUUUUGCACGAGGGCAAACGCCGAUACGCGUAUCUUUCUGAAAGUAUCCUACGAAUAAGGAUCGGCUAACUCCGUGCCAGCAGCCGCGGUAAUACGGAGGAUUCAAGCGUUAUCCGGAUUUAUUGGGUUUAAAGGGUGCGUAGGCGGUCGGAUAAGUUAGCGGUGAAAUCCCGAGGCUCAACUUCGGAAUUGCCUCUGAUACUGUUCGGCUAGAGAGUAGUGGCGGUAGGCGGAAUGUAUGGUGUAGCGGUGAAAUGCUUAGAGAUCAUACAGAACACCGAUUGCGAAGGCAGCUUACCAGGCUACUUCUGACGUUGAGGCACGAAAGCGUGGGGAGCAAACAGGAUUAGAUACCCCAGUAGUC